rnacentral:rRNA from 1 species
UACGUAGGGGGCGAGCGUUGUCCGGAAUCAUUGGGCGUAAAGCGCGUGUAGGCGGCCCGGUAAGUCCGCUGUGAAAGUCCAGGGCUCAACCCUGGGAUGCCGGUGGAUACUGUCGGGCUCGAGUCCGGAAGAGGCGAGUGGAAUUCCUGGUGUAACGGUGAAAUGCGCAGAUAUCAGGAGGAACACCAAUGGCGAAGGCAGCUCGCUGGGACGUGACUGACGCUGAGACGCGAAAGCGUGGGUAGCAAACAGG